GAGAAAAGGGCAUUUGAUUGAGAAAAGGAAAGAAGAUCAGGAUUUGUUUUUAUGGGCACUGUUCCAGGGCUCAAGGGUGAAGUUACAAGUUCCUUUCAUCAACCUUUUUGGGGAAUUCCUAUGGUACGUUUUCUCCCUAAUUUCUUUCUGUUCAUGUUUCAUUGGGUGAUGGAUUCCUACCUAAAGUGAGGACUUAAGUAUUGUAUCCCUAUUUAUUGAAGUAGAAGAAAUUUUCUCUAUGGUUUUUUACCUCUAUUCAAAGGGUUUUUCCACAUUAUAUUUGGUAUCCUCUUUUGUGGUUGAAUGUUAUUGAUUGUCAUUCUUGAUUCUUGUUAAGUUGUUAUUAUUCUUGAGAGGUGGUUAUUAUUGUUGAGUGGUUGUUAUUCUUGUGGAGGAAUCUUUUAACUUUGGCAGGUUAAUACUCUAGAUCUCUCCCUUUAUCUUCCCAACAAGUGGUAUCAGAGCUUGGUUGUGGAACUUUUAUUCUUGAAAGGAAUGGAGAUAAAAAGGGAACUCAACCUCCAUGAUAAAACUUAACAAUUUAAAUUAGGCUAUGUGGAAGUCCAUGAUGGAAGAUUUUCACACCAUCAAAGAUUUGUCAAAUACUUUUGAAGAUAAAGAAGUUAGUCCCAAAGAUAUUUUUGAUUUGGAAUGGAAUAAGAUGAACAAAAAGGCAAUUGCCUAUAUUAGGCAAUAGAUUGACACAUCCUCACAUCACCAUGUGGCAAAUGAAACAAAUGCCCAUAAUCUCUAGAAGAAAUUGGAAUCCAUGUUUGCACAAAAAACUGUUGGGAAUAAAAUUUUCUUGUUAAAAAAGUUGGUGAAUAUGAAGCUAAAGGAAGGAACACAAAUGACAGAUCACUUGAAUGUUUUUCAAAGCAUUGUUAAUCAUUUGGUUGUGUUCAUUACCAAAUAGUUAGAAAACUUUUGUUGUGACUAUUAGCAACUCUACUCCGAAUGGUGCAUUGUCUAUAGAACUUAUGAAGGGAAAUUUGUUCAAUGAAAAGACAAGAAGGAAGGCUUAUGACACAGAAAAUGCACGAGCCCUCAUCAUAGAAAGUAAAGAAAGAAACAAGGAUAAAGGAUAGAAAGGUUAUGACAAGUUUGAGGGAAGGUCCCAAUCCAAAGGUAAAAUCAAAUGUUUCCAUUGUGGAAAAGAUAGGCAUAUGAAAAGGAAUUUUCGAAUUUGGAAAAGGGAAUAGAAUAGGUAGAAUCAGGAAAAAGAAUAUGAAAAGAAUACCACAACCUCAGUAUCUAACAAUGAUGAAGUUUUAGUGCUCUCAAAUGAGUGUUUGCAUAUAGAUAAGCAAGAAAUUGAGUGGACUAUAGACAUUGUAGCCUCCUACAUGCUACUCCUCACAUGGAGUCGUUUUUUUAUUAUAGAGUUAAAGACUAUGGCAUAGUCAAGAUGGGAAACUCUAGUCACUCCAAGAUUGUAGGGAUGGGUGAUGUUUGCUUUGAAACCAAUAUGCGGUACAAGUUGACAUUGAAAGAUGUAAGGCAUGUUUCAAAUUUACGCCUUAAUCUAAUGUUAGGUUUUGUCUUGGACAAGCAAGGUUAUGAAAAGCACUUUAGCAAAGGCAAAUGGAAGCUUACUAAGGGCUCAUUGGUUGUUGCAAAAGAAGAAGCAUGUUGCACUUUGUAUAAGACCCAAGGAAAAGUUUGUAAUGAUGAGUUACAUGUUAUAAAGGGUACUUCCUUGGAGUUAUGGCAUAAAGGUUGGGGCAUAUGAGUAAGAAAGGAUUGCAAGUUUUGGUAAGGAAGUUCUUAAUUCCUUUGGCCAAAAAUGAAUCCUUAUCUUCUUGUGAUCAUUCUUUAAUUAGAAAACAACAUAGGGUUUCCUUUAGUAGCAGAUCUAACAAGUUAGAGAAGUUGGAAUUGGUAUACUCUAAUGUUUGUGGCCCAAUGGAUAUGGAAAAUCUUGGAGGAAACAGGUACUUUGUCACUUUCAUUGAUGAUGCUACCAAGAAGGUAUGGAUUUAUUUGCUCAGAUCAAAGGAUCAAGUCUUUCAGUAUUUUCUACAAUUUCAUACCAUGGUUAAGAGAGAAACUGGAAGAAAAUUGAAGUGUCUCAGGUCUAAUAAUGGAGGUGAGUACACCUCAAGGGAGUUUGAAACUUAUUGCACUAAGAAUGGUAUAAGGCAUGAGAAAAAAGUUUAUGGCACUCCAUGGUAUAAUGGUGUGGCUGAAAUGAUGAAUUGCACCAUCAUUGAGAGAGUUAGGUGUAUGUUGAAUACUGCAAAGUUGCCUAAGGUGUUUUAGGGUGAAGCUACUCAAACUGCCUGCUAUUUGAUAAACAAAUCUUUAUCAGGUCCAUUGAACUUUGAGGUUCCAAUGAAGGCAUGGACAGGAGAAGAUGUUACCUAUUCCCACUUGAGGGUCUUUGGAUAUAAAAGUUUUGUGCAUGUUCCUAAAGAACAAAGAUCUAAACUUGAUGAUAAGGCAAUUCCACAUGUCUUUGUUAGGUAUGGUGAUGAAGAGUUUGGAUUCAAAUUAUGGGAUCCAACUAAGAAGAAAUUGGUGAGAAAUAGAGAUGUGGUCUUCCAAGAGGAUCAAACCUUAGGAGAUUUUGACAAAGCCAAUCAAUUGAAAGGUACAAGUGAUGACUUCAUUGAGUUGGUACCUAUUCCCCAAUCAUUAGAGCAGCCUAGAAAUGAACAGGAGGAAAUUGAUGAGCUACCAAGAGAUGAUAGUGCAAAUGACAUACCUGCACAAGAGCUAAUUCAACACAAGGAGUAGGAGGAUUUGAUACCCCAAGUUAGGAUGUCUACUAAAGAGCAUCGUCCCUUUACUAUAUAUCCCUCUUCUGAGUACAUGUUAGAUGAGAGGGAGCCACAAAGUUUUCACUAAUCUAUGCAAGAUGAGAUGGAUUCCUUGUAGAAAAAUGAAAAUUAUGAGUUAAUACAACUUCCUAAAGGAAGAAAAUCAUUGAAAAACAAAUGGAUAUUCAAGUGGUUAAGAGAUAUGGUUGAAGAAAAUGCAGCUAAGUUGAAGAAGAUUCACUUAAACAUGUUGACAAAGGUUGUUCCCAAACAGAAGCUUCAGUUGUGCAUUGGAACAAGAGGUUUGAACUCUAUGUGAUGGAGUUAUAGAUUGGCACUCUCCUCUCAUAUGCUGGAGGGGGAGAUUGUUAGGCUAUGUUUAUCCAACCCAUGAGCUCAUAUAUUAGGCCAUUUUAUAUUUUGGUUUUCCCUAAGCCCAAAUAUGGAUAUAUAAAUAGCAUUAGGGCUUUGGUAUUAAGAGAAAAAGGCAUUUGAUUGAGAAAAUGAAAGAAAAGAUUAGGGUUUGUUUUUAUGGGCACUGUUCUAAGACUCAAGGGUGAAGUCACAGGUUCCUUUCAUCAACCUUUUUGGGGAAUUCCUAUGGUAUGUUUUCUUCCUGAUUUCUUUCUGUUCAUGUUUCCUGGGGUGAUGGAUUCCCACCUCAAGUGAGGACUUAAUUAUUGUACCCCCAUUUAUUGAAGUGCAAGAAAUUUUCUCUAUGGUUUUUUACCUCUAUUUAGACGGUUUUUCCAUGUUAUAUUUGGUGUCCUCUUUUGUGGUUAAAUUUUCUUGAUUGUCAUUCUUGAUUCUUGUUAAGUUGUUAUUAUUCUUGAGAAGUGGUUAUUAUUGUUGAGUGGUUGUUAUUCCUGUGGAGGAAUCUUUUAACCUUGGUAGGUUAAUACUCUAAAUCUCUCCCUUUAUCUUCCCAACAAAAGUGUGUGUUUUUAAAGUUUAUUAAUAAAUUUGACCUCCUUUUCCCAUGAAUGUAGGCGAUUAUAAUGAACCCCAUAAAUCUUUUGUCUUCCGUAAUUUAUUUUGAAACCUAUAAAUGGAGGAGAUGAAAGACAAUAUGUUUCAAGGAGAAUUGAUAGUGCUUUCAUGAAUAUUCUAUCUCAAUAUGAGGGGAAACAUUGUCAACUCCUUUUUUGUUGAAAGUUUCUCAUUUACUUCUUUUUAGGUAAACAACUUAAUCUUGGCUUGUUCUUACUUCAUGUGUCAACGACAAUUAUCAUGAACAUAAUAUGACUUAGUUGCAACAAAUGUCCAGGAAAAUUUGGGAGGAUAAAAAACCAACGCACUUGAGAAAGCAACCAUUUAUAAUAGCCAUAGUAUUGAAAACUUAUCAAUUAUAGCUAUCAAAUGUUUUUAUCCCACACCCUCAACAAAAAGCACCGCUAUACAAUUUUAGAAAAAGAGCGAUAACAAACCAAUGGUAUGUUUGAAAAUAGUAAAACAAUUUCCUAUUUUUAAGAGGAAAACAAUAAGUAAACAACAUCUAGCAACAAAAAAAUAGAAAAUAGUUUUCUAUUUUUAAAAAUAUAAAAUAACAUGUUUUCUGAUAACAUAUUUUAGUUGUUUUCAUUUGUUUUCUAAUGGUUAUUUUAAAAAAAACAAAUAUUUAAAUAUGAAGAAUAAUUAAAAAUAAAGCACUACAAAUAAAAGUUAUUUUCAAAAAAGUUAUGUGAUAGCUCACAUCAAAUAGGAGAAAGACAUUAUACACAUAUGAAUUCUUCUUAAUCAUGCAUGUAGAUGUGUUUUAAAGUCAUAAAGGUUCUUUUGACCUACAAUGGACAAUAUCUACAUGGCUGAGAUUAGAUUGUAAGUCAAUCCCUGACCUUAGUGUGAGUUUGUUUAGCCCUACAAGAAAUGUUUGUUUGUUUGUUUGACCCCACAUGACCCUGAAAUGCUAUGAGACAUAAUGUGGACGUUGUGUCUUCAUGGAGGUCAAUUAUGAUAUCUCACAAUUAGAUGGAACAAAAAUUUCUUAACACUAAAUAUGUAUGAACUACUCUUAACUAUAUAGAUGUGUUUUUGAGUCAUGAAGGCCAGAGCAAAAAAUAUCUACAUAAUUAGGAAUUUUCUAUAUAUUAAAUCAUAGAACUCAAAUAAACUUUUGUGCAAUAAAACAUCAAAUAACACUUUUCAAAAACAGUUCUCAAAAUCUAUUUUGAAAAUACUUUCUAAACAGAACCCAAAUUUUUAGUUGAAAAAGAAGUUAAGAGCACGAAACAUUACCAUAUAAGACUUAAAGGAGGUUUUCGAAGUUCAAACGAAUUUCAAACUACUAUAUUUUGUGUAACAAAUAACUAUUGCUUCCUCUUAUGUCACAAAUCUUAAUUAGCUAUGUUUAACAAGCAUUAGGUAGAUCUAUUCAUUGAAAUGUCGCUUUUCUUUGUCUUUUUUUUUCAUAUUUUAUAUUGAAAAUAAAGACCUUUGAAAGGCUAUUGUUUUCUAUAUAGCAAGAAACACAGAAAGAUAAUAUUGGUACUCCAAAAACAUUGAGCCUUAUUUCAGUCUUAGAAACUAUGACAGGAGGAAAAAAAAAAAAAGAAACCACUAAGGGGAAAAGAAAAGGAAGAAUAAAUUUCAAUCAACCAUAUUGAGCAGAAAUGGACUAGUAAUUAAAUGAAUAAAUGUAUUCACAAGCGUAAAUCAUGUGGAGAAUAACUCAAAUUAAGGCGUUUCCUAGGCCAUACAUGCGCCAUGUAUGGUAAAGCAUCAACUACCAGCAAAGAUGAUUUCCAACUUAUUCAUUUAUUCUCAAUUUGUCUUAGUGUAAAAACCUUCAGAAGGGUACGUACGUACCACAUGUGAAUAAUAAUCAAAAUUACAAAAUACGUACAAUUGCCAGUAUGUUCUUCAUUAUGUAAACAAACGCACAAACUUUAUCACAAGAAUGACAAGAUACACGACCUAAUGAAAAGAAUUUCUGAUUUUGGGGGCUCCCAUGGUGGAGCUUUAUCUAUAUAUAUGUUCACUGUCCAGUAGCCAUGACGAACGGAGGGGGAGGCUUGGCAUGGCCUGCAAACUUCAUACCGUUAUGGCAAGGUGGGGCGCCCUUUUCCGGGAUAUGGCUGCAUGAACUGCUUCCAGAGGGAGGCACAGGACCUGAACUCAGAGAUUGCAAAGGAACAAAUCUUAUCUUGAUCCACUCUUCUUUCUCUCCAUCAAGAACCCUACCAGCACUGUGUGGUUGGACGCUCAGAACAAGGACAAGUGCCGUGACAGCUAAAGCAAUGUUGAGAAACCUCAUGAUCGAUCUUUGGCGGGUUAAGCAAAGAGGAGAUGAUCAAAGCAAUAUUUUUAGAUGGACAAAUUAAUAUGCAUAUAUGAUAUAUGGAAGAGAACGACCAUCUCGGUUAUUUAUAUGCUCCCAAUGGUAUGACUGGAGUUUUUGGUAGUUUGGCUUGUUUGAAGGGUUUCUUUGACUGUUGACUUACUAAUAGUGUUUUGCUUUGGGAGAUUGAAAAUUGAAGUGGUCUUAAAGAAGAAACUACGUCUGAAAAUACUUGAUUACUGUACACAUGAGCAUGCAUCUUAUGACCUUUUUGAACACCAAAAAUUAUGUGAGAAGGAAAAUGAUUUUAAUGUUAAGUUGGAGAGUUGCC
rnacentral:lncRNA from 1 species